GGCGGGGUGGCGGAGUGGUUGAACGCGCUGACUUCGGAAGUCAGUAGGCCUGAUUGCCCAGGCCUCGUGGGUUCGAAUCCCAUCCCCGCCGCCA
rnacentral:tRNA from 1 species